UACGUAGGGGGCAAGCGUUGUCCGGAUUUAUUGGGCGUAAAGAGCGUGUAGGCGGCCAGACAAGUCUGCUGUGAAAACUCGAGGCUCAACCUCGAGCUGUCGGUGGAAACUGUCUGGCUAGAGUCCGGAAGAGGAGAGUGGAAUUCCUGGUGUAGCGGUGAAAUGCGCAGAUAUCAGGAAGAACACCGAUGGCGAAGGCAGCUCUCUGGGACGGUACUGACGCUGAGGAGCGAAAGCGUGGGGAGCGAACAGG
rnacentral:rRNA from 1 species